rnacentral:rRNA from 1 species
AGUGAACGCUGGCGGUAGGCCUAACACAUGCAAGUCGAACGGCAGCACAGUAAGAGCUUGCUCUUACGGGUGGCGAGUGGCGGACGGGUGAGGAAUACAUCGGAAUCUACUUUUUCGUGGGGGAUAACGUAGGGAAACUUACGCUAAUACCGCAUACGACCUACGGGUGAAAGCAGGAGAUCUUCGGACCUUGCGCGAAUGAAUGAGCCGAUUUCGGAUUAGCUAGUUGGCGGGGUAAAGGCCCACCAAGGCGACGAUGCGUAGCUGGUCUGAGAGGAUGAUCAGCCACACUGGAACUGAGACACGGUCCAGACUCCUACGGGAGGCAGCAGUGGGGAAUAUUGGACAAUGGGCGCAAGCCUGAUCCAGCCAUACCGCGUGGGUGAAGAAGGCCUUCGGGUUGUAAAGCCCUUUUGUUGGGAAAGAAAAGCAGCAGGUUAAUACCCCGCUGUUCUGACGGUACCCAAAGAAUAAGCACCGGCUAACUUCGUG